rnacentral:ncRNA from 1 species
GAGAGCCACGUGCUGCGGAAACGGGCAUGCGUGGUUCGGGAAGGGGCGGAUGAAAACGUACCGCAAGGCAACGCGUCAGCCGCCUACUUCAC